AUUAGAUACCCUGGUAGUCCACGCCGUAAACGAUGAUUACUAGGUGUCGGUGGGUAUGGACCCACCGGUGCCGCAGCAAACGCAGUAAGUAAUCCACCUGGGGAGUACGUUCGCAAGAAUGAAACUCAAAGGAAUUGACGGGGACCCGCACAAGCGGUGGAGCAUGUGGUUUAAUCCGAAGCAACGCGAAGAACCUUACCAAGUCUUGACAUCCCAUCGAAUAAAGGGUAAUGCCUUUAGUCCUUCGGGACGAUGGAGACAGGUGGUGCAUGGUUGUCGUCAGCUCGUGUCGUGAGAUGUUGGGUUAAGUCCCGCAACGAGCGCAACCCUUAUCCUCAGUAGCCAGCAGGUAAAGCCGGGCACUCUGGGGAGACUGCCGGGGAUAACCCGGAGGAAGGUGGGGAUGACGUCAAAUCAUCAUGCCCCUUAUGAUUUGGGCUACACACGUGCUACAAUGGCGUAAACAGAGGGAAGCGAACCCGCGAGGGGGAGCAAAUCCAGAAAUAACGUCCCAGUUCGGAUUGUAGUCUGCAACCCGGCUACAUGAAGCUGGAAUCGCUAGUAAUCGCGGAUCAGAAUGCCGCGGUGAAUACGUUCCCGGGUCUUGUACACACCGCCCGUCACACCAUGGGAGUCGGAAAUGCCCCGAAGUCUGUGACCCAACCUCAGGGAGGGAGCAGCCGAAAGCAGGUCGGAUGAC
rnacentral:rRNA from 1 species